rnacentral:rRNA from 1 species
GGAUGUGAGAUUUCUAAGACAACUAGGAUGUUGGCUUAGAAGCAGCCAUUCAUUAAAAGAGUGCGUAAUAGCUCACUAGUCGAGAGAUCUUGCGCCGAAAAUGUAACGGGGCUAAACUUACCACCGAAGCUACGGGCUUGAACUUAGUUCAAGCGGUAGGAGAGCGUCUUAACCGGGCUGAAGUCGUACCGUAAGGAGCGGUGGACUGGUUACGAGUGAGAAUGUUGGCAUCAGUAGCGAGAUGUGGGUGAGAAUCCCACAGGCCGAAAACCUAAGGUUUCCUCAGGAAGGUUCGUCCGCUGAGGGUUAGUCGGGACCUAAGCCGAGGCCGAAAGGCGUAGGUGAUGGACAACUGGUUGAUAUUCCAGUACCACUACCAUCGUUAUUAUCGAUGGCGUGACGCAGGAGGAUAGUGUGUGCUAGCUAUUGGAUGCUAGUCUAAGCAUUUAGGCAGUGAGAGUAGGCAAAUCCGCUCUCAUAAUGCUGAGGCGUGAUGGGGAAGGUUCUACGGAACCGAAGUACAUGAUUCCACGCUGCCAAGAAAAGCGUCUAGAGAGAGAAGUAGUGCCCGUACCGCAAACCGACACAGGUAGGUGAGGAGAGAAUCCUAAGGCCGGCGGAAGAAUUACAGUUAAGGAACUCGGCAAAUUGACCCCGUAAGUUCGCGAGAAGGGGUGCCUACGAGAGUAGGCCGCAGAGAAUAGGCCCAAGCAACUGUUUAGCAAAAACACAGGUC